AACAGACAACCAACUACUGAAGUCAAGGAGUACUGCUUCCACAACGCCCAGCCAGGUAAAUCUGUGAUGACCAGAUCCUGACCUGCACACAGAAGAGCUGCUGCAUUGGAGGAAAAAAACACAACAAAAACAGGGGCAAAAUCCAAAUUCAUUGAUGAUGUCAUCAUUGCAUACCGCAAGGCUAAACAACAACAUAGAUCAGUAGACCACAAGGGUAUUAAUCCCAGAUACAUGCAAAUCAAAUCAAGACCAACAUUUGCAACUUACCAGACCUUUCGCCAGAAUUUCUGAAGCUAAACCGAAACUUCAAACGGAAACAAGAGCAUGUGACAACUGACCUCAGCUCUUCAGAGGCUGGAGAUGAAGGUUUUUGUGGUGCAUGGAUCCCAGCAGAUGCGCAGCAGCUACAGGUGGAUAACACUCCCACUCUCUGAGAGCCGCUAAAGAUCGUCAACACCUUUUCUCUCAUAGCCACAGCAAGCUUGUUUGAGGCUGCUAUGGUAAUGUUAAGUUUUCAAUGUCUAUGCCUUUCUGAUUCAUUAGAGGCGGCUUGAUUUUUCUUCCAAUUCGUUUGCAAACAAUUGCAGGUGUAUGGUCUGCACACAUGUUCAAAUGCAUAGUAGCAGUAAAUGAUUUUCAUUGCAUGAGGUUUUACUUGAAAUUGUCAAUGGGUGUUUUACAUAGAUUAGUUUAAUAACACUAAUGAUCUGUGUAUUGAUUAAUUCUCUCUGACUAUCACUGUAGUCAUUGUGACAUUAUAGUAAAAUGUGGUUUAAAUUUUUUUGUUCAAGCUGCACCAUCAAAAAUGACUAGCAAGUAGCAAUGAAUAACAAGUGUUUUUUUCAGUAAACAACCUAUUGAGACCCAUAGAAGUCAAACUAAGAUUCAAAUGUUGCUUAGAUAUGACUCUGGUUCAGAGUCACUGAUCUAAUCUCUGCUACACCUUUAAAAAACAUAAGGCUCUAUAUAUAAACAAGUUUUAAUAA